AAUAUUGGACAAUGGGCGAAAGCCUGAUCCAGCCAUGCCGCGUGAGUGAUGAAGGCCCUAGGGUUGUAAAGCUCUUUCACCGGUGAAGAUACUGACGGUAAUCGGAGAAGAAGCCCCGGCUAACUUCGUGCCAGCUGCCGCGGUAAUACGAAGGGGGCUAGCGUUGUUCGGAAUUGCUGGGCGUAAAGCCCACGUAGGCGGACAUUUAAGUCAGGGUUGAAAUCCCGGGGCUCAACCCCGGAACUGCCUUUGAUACUGGGUGUCUCGAGUCCGGAAGAGGUGAGUGGAAUUCCGAGUGUAGAGGUGAAAUUCGUAGAUAUUCGAAGGAACACCAGUGGCGAAGGCGGCUCACUGGUCCGGUACUGACGCUGAGGUGCGAAAGCGUGGGGAGCAAACAGG
rnacentral:rRNA from 1 species